AUUGAACGCUGGCGGCAGGCCUAACACAUGCAAGUCGAGCGGAGUUGCGGACGGGCGAGUAAUUCAUAGGAAUCUGCCUGGUAUUGGGGGAUAACGUCCGGAAACGGGCGCUAAUCUCGCAUACUAUCAGAUGAGCCUAGGUCGUGUUAGCUAGUUGGUGUGGUAAAGGCUUACCAAGGCGACGAUCCGUAACUGGGCUGAGAGGAUGAUCAGUCACACUGGAACUGAGACACGGUCCAGACUCCUACGGGAGGCAGCAGUGGGGAAUAUUGGACAAUGGGCGAAAGCCUGACCCAGCCAUGCCGCGGGUGUGAAGAAGGUCUUCGGAUUGUAAAGCACUUUAAGUUGGGAGGCGUUACCAACAGAAUAAGCACCGGCUAACUUCGUGCCAGCAGCCGCGGUAAUUC
rnacentral:rRNA from 1 species